AUUGAACGCUGGCGGCAGGCCUAACACAUGCCAGUCGAACGGUAACAGGAAGAAGCUUGCUUCUUUGCUGACGAGUGGCGGACGGGUGAGUAAUGUCUGGGAAACUGCCUGAUGGAGGGGGAUAACUACUGGAAACGGUAGCUAAUACCGCAUAACGUCGCAAGACCAAAGAGGGGGACCUUCGGGCCUCUUGCCAUCGGAUGUGCCCAGAUGGGAUUAGCUAGUAGGUGGGGUAACGGCUCACCUAGGCGACGAUCCCUAGCUGGUCUGAGAGGAUGACCAGCCACACUGGAACUGAGACACGGUCCAGACCCCUACGGGAGGCAGCAGUGGGGAAUAUUGCACAAUGGGCGCAAGCCUGAUGCAGCCAUGCCGCGUGUAUGAAGAAGGCCUUCGGGUUGUAAAGUACUUUCAGCGGGGAGGAAGGGAGUAAAGUUAAUACCUUUGCUCAUUGACGUUACCCGCAGAAGAAGCACCGGCUAACUCCGUG
rnacentral:rRNA from 1 species